UCUGCCCAGCGAGCGGCCCGCGGAGAGCCCCAGGAGGACCAAGGGGCGGGCGGGCAGGCCUCUUCAUUCUUCCCACUUCUGAGGGGGACAGCCGGGAUGAAGGUGGAAAGGGACGCCUGUCCUGGACUUGGCAGGUGUUGCCCUUGUCGCUGUGUGCUCACUGCUGCUUCUCCACCUGGUCACGGGGGUGCUCACGCUGUGGCCCCGAUGAGCAGGCAUGCUUCCGUACCUGCCGCCAGUGGCCCCUGGCUGAGCGCCCUCCUGUGCACCGUGUCCUCUCAGCUCCCAGAUACCCUCAUUAUUCCCACUUUGUAGAUGAGAAAACUGAGGGAUGAGGUAGGAUUCAUCUGGAAAAAGCAGCCGCGGUCUUGGUCUCAUCUGAAGGCAUCCCGGGCUGGAGGGCCCACUUCUGCGAUGGCGUCCCACACUGCACUUGGCCGAAGGCCUCAGUUUCUCCUCCACUGGUUCUCCGGAAGCCUACUUAAGUGUUCUCAUGACGUGGCUCUUUCUACAGUGAGUGAUCAGAGAGCGACCAAAGCCAAAACUAUGGGGACCUUUAUCACUAAGGUCUCUGAUGUCAGCAAGUCAACUGACAUCAGCCCACGCUCAGGGGAGGCAAAUCAGGACCCAUCGCUGGAAGGAAGAGCAUCAGAGAAUUUGUGGACAGAUUUUUAAAACUGUGGCAACAGAUAAAGGGAUGGUGUACCCACUGUUCUUCCGUGACGCUGGGAUCUUAGCAUGAUCUCAGCCCACGGCCCGCUUGUGAAAUUCACCUGGGACGCUUCUAGAUGCUCUCCGAGCCAGGGCGCCAACCCCAGGCCCUCUGAAGGACUUGCUCAGAGCAGAGACUGGACAUUUGUGGGUUCGUUUUGUGGAAAGAUCUUAAACUGUAGCCGUAACAUUUCUGUUUCCACCGCAUUUUGUUACUGUAAAACAUGCACAUUGUAAAACAGACCGUUUUAGCCGCU